rnacentral:rRNA from 1 species
CAGGCGGCCGCGUUAAGUCAGAUGUGAAAGACCCGGGGCGUUAACCUCGGAACUUAGCAUUUGUAAACUAGGCAGGCUAGAGUCUUGUAGAGGGGGGUAGGAAGUUUCAGGUGUAGCGGUGAAAUGCGUAGAGAUCUGAAGGAAUACCAGUGGCGAAGGCGGCCCCCUCGGACAAAGACUGACGCUCAGAUGCGAAAGCGUGGGGAGCAAACAGGAUUAGAUACCCUGGUAG